rnacentral:piRNA from 1 species
UGUCAUGUGUUGCUAAAAUAUGGGAC